AGGCUAGUGGCGGACGGGUUAGUAACGCGUGGGAACGUGCCCUUCACUACGGAAUAGUCCCGGGAAACUGGGUUUAAUACCGUAUACGCCCUUCGGGGGAAAGAAUUUCGGUGAAGGAUCGGCCCGCGUUGGAUUAGGUAGUUGGUGGGGUAAAAGCCUACCAAGCCGACGAUCCAUAGCUGGUUUGAGAGGAUGAUCAGCAACACUGGGACUGAGACACGGCCCAGACUCCUACGGGAGGCAGCAGUGGGGAAUCUUAGACAAUGGGGGAAACCCUGAUCUAGCCAUGCCGCGUGAGUGAAGAAGGCCCUAGGGUCGUAAAGCUCUUUCACCGGUGAAGAUAAUGACGGUAGCCGGAGAAGAAACCCCGGCUAACUCCGUGCCAGCAGCCGCGGUAAUACGGAGGGGGUUAGCGUUGUUCGGAAUUACUGGGCGUAAAGCGCGCGUAGGCGGACUAUUAAGUCAGGGGUGAAAUCCCGGGGCUCAACCCCGGAACUGCCUUUGAUACUGGUAGUCUUGAGUUCGAGAGAGGUGAGUGGAAUUCCGAGUGUAGAGGUGAAAUUCGUAGAUAUUCGGAGGAACACCAGUGGCGAAGGCGGCUCACUGGCUCGAUACUGACGCUGAGGUGCGAAAGUGUGGGGAGCAAACAGGAUUAGAUACCCUGGUAGUCCACACCGUAAACGAUGAAUGCCAGACGUCGGGUAGCAUGCUAUUCGGUGUCACACCUAACGGAUUAAGCAUUCCGCCUGGGGAGUACGGUCGCAAGAUUAAAACUCAAAGGAAUUGA
rnacentral:rRNA from 1 species